CUUCUCGUAGGAGCUUCCUCCAUCGACCCUUGGUGGUGGUUUUGGACGAUUCACACUGGAGCAAAGUCAACUCACGGUGAACAGUGUGUUUAAGCUUGUGGCGGCGAUGUAGGCCGAGUUGGCUUGAACCCCAGGUACUUGACAGAGUUGUGUUGAGCGGAUUGGGACAAUUGUGCCUAUCUUGGUUAGCAUGUGAAGACGCAGUGGAAUUCAGAGGUUUGUUGUGUGGCAACCCGGUGCACUAUUCGAUGGAGUAUGAGUUAAUCCUACAGGUCAGGGAAAUUGUGGCUGAAGCUGAGACCUUGUAGCAGCUGAUUGGGUAGGAAGCUAAUUUUGUGGCAUUACUGUUGUUAAGACUUCCGCUAUGUAGUAAGCUCUAAGGAGUAGUUACUUAUUAUUUUGUUGACGCAAUUUAAUUUGUAAUUUUGUAAACUUUGUGUGAUGUAAUAUGUGACUCUAAAGAACGAGUCUGUAUUUACAUUGAGGGUUCAGAACAUCGUUGGUUGCCCUUGUUUAAAAAAAAAAAAACUGUCUUAGCUGUUUAGUUUGAUGUCUGAACCAUCAAGCCUGGAGUUUAUGGG